AGUAACGCGUGGGUAACCUGCCCUAUACACAUGGAUAACAUACUGAAAAGUUUACUAAUACAUGAUAAUAUAUAUUUACGGCAUCGUAGAUAUACCAAAGUGUUAGCGGUAUAGGAUGGACCCGCGUCUGAUUAGCUAGUUGGUGAGAUAACUGCCCACCAAGGCGACGAUCAGUAGCCGACCUGAGAGGGUGAUCGGCCACAUUGGAACUGAGACACGGUCCAAACUCCUACGGGAGGCAGCAGCC
rnacentral:rRNA from 1 species